GGGGUAGAGAUGGACUCCGGCUCUCCAAAAAAGUUUUGUGCUGAACCAGGGAUCCGAUCUAGGUUUUCCUCUUUGUAACCCUCGGCUUUGGCUGUGUCUUCGCAGAAGAAAAUGGAAAAGUAAAUGUAAAGUAAAGUUCAUGGUUCUCCUUCACAGCCACCUGAAUGAGCCAUUGAACCUUUCAACGUGGUGGGUCGGAAACAAACCCAAUGCAGCCACCUCAGUCUGUGAACCAGCCUCGGAAGGAUAGAAGGCUGAGUGAACCUUGAGCCGGCUACCUGGGAUUGAAUCCUGGGUGGCGAACACAGUUUUGGCUGCAGGACAGCAGUCUAACCCCUGCGCCACAAGACAAAUAUUGAUUUUCUCAUUUGAAAGUCUGCGCUCUGCAGAAAAUUGCUAUGUCCAUCUUCCUGAAGUCCUGUGGUUUUUGAGGAGGUGGCCAUAUAUUUUACCAGAGGAGAAUGGGUUCUGCUGGAUGUCACUCAGAGAGAUCUGUACACCGAUGUCAUGCUGGAAAAUUAUGGGAAUUUAGCCUUCCUGGGCUGUGCUCUGGCGUUGGAGGCCAGUUCUGAGUGGCCUCUUCCUUCAGAGGGAGCGGGAAGAGCGCCUGCCCGAGCCGCACAGGUAGGGGGGGAAAGAUCGCCAGGAAGGUGAGGAAACGGCCUCCUCCUCUUUCCCUUUUCCUCCUCAAGGAGCUGCGGCUUCUUUUCUCUCUCUGUCCCACCAAGUCACCUUCCACCGAGGUGGCCGGUGCAGCCGUUCCACCCAGUCUGGCUAGAGAUGGACGGGCGUAGGAUGGUGAGAGCGGGUUCGUGCAGUGUGUCCCUGUGGAUGAUGCAUGAGGGGUGAGCCCACCUAGUGCUCCAGGGCUGAGACACGGGGCCCAAAUGAGAGAAUUGCAUGGAGAACGGGAGAGCUGGGUGCAAGGCGGAAGGUGGAUUGGACGACCCUUCCACCUUCAUAUCCCCUAAGGAGAAAGAGGUGGCUGGUUUUUAGGUUGAAGGUGCCGGAGAGAUGACUCAGGUGACCUUGAGGGUGUGUCACUCACAAGUGUGAUAGAGGUGAGAAGGAGCAAGGACGUUGCAGCCUGGUAGACAAACGUUGACAUCAAGCAGAAGAUUCUUGGUGGCUGCUGUUCCCAUAAGUAAUCUCAAGGACCGUAUCCAUCAGGAGAGGCCUUUCUCUUGGCCCCACCACCCUCACCGGUGUGUUUGGUUGGGGCACAGGAGAGGGCCUUCUCUGUGGCGGCUCCCAGAGAUUCUGGAACUCCCUCCCACUAGAGGCCAGC
rnacentral:lncRNA from 1 species